UGGGGAAUUUUGGACAAUGGGCGCAAGCCUGAUCCAGCCAUUCCGCGUGAGUGAAGAAGGCCUUCGGGUUGUAAAGCUCUUUCGGCAGGAACGAAACGGUCCUUUUUAAUAAAGGGGGCUAAUGACGGUACCUGAAGAAGAAGCACCGGCUAACUACGUGCCAGCAGCCGCGGUAAUACGUAGGGUGCGAGCGUUAAUCGGAAUUACUGGGCGUAAAGGGUGCGCAGGCGGUUGUGCAAGAUCGAUGUGAAAUCCCCGGGCUUAACCUGGGAACUGCGUUGAUGACUGCACGACUUGAGUGUGGCAGAGGGGGGUGGAAUUCCACGUGUAGCAGUGAAAUGCGUAGAGAUGUGGAGGAACACCGAUGGCGAAGGCAGCCCCCUGGGUUAACACUGACGCUCAUGCACGAAAGCGUGGGGAGCAAACAGG
rnacentral:rRNA from 1 species